UGACCUCUCCAUAGCUAAGAUCCUUCCGUAGGUGAACCUGCGGAAGGAUCAUAGUUAUGGAGAGGUCAGCCUUCACCGGCCCCUCGUCACACUCUGGAUGCAAUGCGUUGAUUCGCUAGUCUUGGUCUCCGGACCUCGACACACACUUUUGUGAUCCAAUCUUUAAUGCCUAUUCGAAAUACAAGAGAAUUACAACCAGUAGCGUUGGAUCCCUUGGCACGUCAUUCGAUGAAGACCGUUGCAAAAUGCGAUAAGUGGUGUGAUAUGCAAGUCCAAAACUUAUACGUGAACCAUCGAAUUGUUGAACGCACUGCAUCGAGCCUUACCCAGGAACGAUACGCCCCAUUGAGCGUCAUUAUGUCUUCGCGACUUGUCAUUUUCACAAGUGACCUGUCCGGGUUCGGGAUUCACGGCUUAGGUCGCGCUUCCUUAGAUACAUGGACGUACACGACCGGAAGGUGUCCUUGUCAUGAAUGUCGAGGUGUGCCCAACGGUUGCCUGUACGAGAUGGAGUGCUCGCCAUUCCAUCAGAGUGCACUCGUGCAACUUCUACACAUGACCUCACGGGGGUGGGACGACCCGCUAGACUUAAGCAUAUUAAUCAGCGGAGGAAAAGAAACUAACAAGGAUCCCCUA
rnacentral:rRNA from 1 species